CUUACUAAAGAUUGAAGUAGUACCACCAUCAAGGCAUCAACAAUUACAAGCUUUAAAACAAGAAAACAUUUCUUUUUAACAAUUAACAAGAAGAAUAAGAAGAAGAAGAAGAAUGAUACCAGCAAGGAGCACUUAAUCUAUGAAAAGAACAUAAGAGACACCAAGUGUACAGCCAGAGGAAUAAAACAACCUAAAAUAGCGUCUCCAGCACUUGAGUGCUUAAAGGAAAUAUCAUGAGAAGCUUCAUCAUUACUCACAUGCGACUCCUGGUAUUACAUUUCCCAUCGAUGCGGACUCCAGCUAGUUUCUCCUCAGGUCUUGCUAAAUCUGACAAAGGUGGCAAGGAUCUCCGCUUAAGAAACAGUAUUUUAUCCCUCAAUGGAGAGAAUGAUAGUGCUGGAAGUGGUGGAGCAUCAACAAUAUCUCUAAUCUCACGGGGAGGAAGACGAUAUCCAGUUUCUGAUGCUGAUUAAUACAUUUCCCAUCGAUGCGGACUCCAGCUAGUUUCUCCUCAGGUCUUGCUAAAUCUGACAAAGGUGGCAAGGAUCUCCGCUUAAGAAACAGUAUUUUAUCCCUCAAUGGAGAGAAUGAUAGUGCUGGAAGUGGUGGAGCAUCAACAAUAUCUCUAAUCUCACGGGGAGGAAGACGAUAUCCAGCGUCUAAUGCUGAUUCUACAUCUAGUAAAAAAUUUAAAAACAUACGUAAAUUCUAUUAAAAAGGGAAAAUUACAGAGUUAGAGAGUAUUGAAACAUGAAACCAAAGGCAAUGAAGAAAUGGAGAUAUAGAUGAAAAA
rnacentral:lncRNA from 1 species